GACUCUCGGCAACGGAUAUCUCGGCUCUCGCAUCGAUGAAGAACGUAGCGAAAUGCGAUACUUGGUGUGAAUUGCAGAAUCCCGUGAACCAUCGAGUCUUUGAACGCAAGUUGCGCCCCAAGCCGUCAGGCCGAGGGCACGUCUGCCUGGGUGUCACGC
rnacentral:rRNA from 1 species